AUGGCGGACACCAGCGGUGCCCCGAGCGACGGCGCGCCGAUCACCAUGAAGCUCCUGGUGGACUCGAGGCCGCCGCGGCCGCGCGUGGUGUUCGCCGAGGCCGGCAAGGACGCCGUCGACUUCCUCUUCUCUCUCCUCACCCUGCCGGCCGGCACGGCGGUGAGGCUGCUGGGGAAGGAGUCCAUGUCCAUGGCGGGCAGCGUCGGUAACCUCUACGCCAGCGUGGAGCGGCUCGAGGGCAGCUACCUCCGGCCCGGCUUCGCCAAGGACGCCCUCCUCUGCCCCGCCGUGCGGGCGAGCCCCCUCCUCCGCCUGCCGCCGCCGCCGGCCCCGGCCCCGAGGACCUUCUUCACCUGCGGCCCCAGCAACAAGUCCUUCAACUACGCAGCCUGCCGCGGGUACGUGUCCGACGCCAGGGGCGCCCGGUGCCCGUCCUGCGGGAGCGAGAUGGCGAUCGAGAACCAGUACGUGCCGCCGCCGCCGCCAGCGCCGGCCCGGCCGGAGCAGAGCGCCGCCACGGUGACGACGGGGUUCGUGCAGGGCGCCGUGACGUACACGGUGACGGACGACCUGGCCGUCGCGCCCAUGUCGGCCAUCUCCAGCAUCGCGCGGCUAGGCGCCCUCGCCGCGCUCCAGGAGAGGACCGUGCAGCUCGGGUACAAGGAGGGUCUGGAGAUCGUCAAGGCCUCGCUGCGGUCCAAGACUGUCCUCACGGACGUCUUCCUCUGCACCGGCGGCAAGAAGCCUCCUCCGUCGUCCAAGAACGGCAACGGCGGCACAAGAUACGAGUGUCUCGCCUGGCGUGUUUGA
rnacentral:rRNA from 1 species